rnacentral:ncRNA from 1 species
UUUUGUUAUUCGAUAAUUAUAUUUAAGAUUAGGUAAUUACUUGGCAAAUGUGCAUUGAAUUUGUUAAAUUUAAGCCUACAAUCUUUAGUUGAUUUGAGAGAAGAAUCAGCCACAAAGGGGAAUGAGAACAACCCUUCGGUCUCGCAGCAGUGAGGAAUAUUAAACAAUAUGCGAAAGCGUGAUUUAGCGAACUAGUGAUAAUGAUGAAGGUCGUAACGAUUGUAAAGUUUGUGCAUAAACUAAAAUAAUGAUAUUAAGUUUAAAAGAAGCCAUGGCCAAUACAUGUGCCAGCAGCCGCGGUAAUACAUGAGUGGCGAGCGUUAUCCGUAUUUAUUUGGCGUAAAGGGUGUGUAGGUUGUAAAAGUAGUUAUAUUUAACUAAAUCAGUUUAUUGUGUUAAAAUAUAAUACCUUUUUACUUUGAUUUUUAUAUAUAUAUGUUAUAUUUAUAAUCUAGUGAUAAAAUACAGUGAGUUUAUAAGUAUAUCUUAAGGUGAAAACAACAUAUUUUAUAAAAAUGACAUUGAAACACGAAAGUAGAGGUAUCAAAUAGGAUUAGACACCCUAGUAGUCUUUACUUUAAAUUAUGAGUAUUUAAUCUUUUUAAAAGGUUUUAGUUAACGCGUAGAAUACUCCGCCUGGGCAGUACAGUCGCAAGGUUGAAACUUAACAGAAUUGGCGGGAAUUUUUUCAAACGGUGGAACAUGUGGUUUAAUACGAUAAUCCGCGUAAAAUCUUACCAAAAUGGUUAAUAUUGUUUAAAUGUUAUUAAUUUAACAUAAAUUUAAAUAUUAAUGCAGUAUUGCAUGGCUGUCGUCGGUUCGUGCUGUGAAAUGUAAAAUUAAGUUUUAUAACGAACGCAACUCUUAUAUAUAAUUUUAAUUAAUUUUAUUAAAAUUUUUUAAUUUAUAAAUUUAAUUUUUUAUAUAAAGAUUUUAUUUUUAAUAAAAUGGAGGAAAAGACCGAAGUCAAGUCAUUAUGGUCUAAGUAUUUUGGGCUACACACGUGUUACAAAAGUAAAAACAAAGAGUUGC